rnacentral:lncRNA from 1 species
CCCUUAACAUAACAAGCUAUUAUAGUCCAGUGGUUUCACCUCCUUGGAAUGAGGAAGUGUUCGUGUGUUCGAAUUUAUUGUGCUAUUACUGGACACCCUUUAUGGAAUUCCUGGCUCCGCCACUACUUUGUUUGAUUGUCGUCAUAUUUUGUUGUAGUUAUUGUUAUAUUUUAAGAAGAUACAAGUUCUCGCUUACUUUUUCUUUCUCCUAUAGAUGUUGUUGUUGUAGUAGUAGUAGUGAUCAUCUAUUUGGGCAGCAUUAUAUUCCUGCUAAUCAUGUGGCUAUGGAUGGAAGAAUUAUCAAUUGGGGAUUGUGGAAAACUGCAGGUACUUUUUAUUUCAAUAGAUUUACUAGCCUCUUAAUCUUUGAUUUGUGUGCUUAAUUAUGAGAUUAUCUUAUGAAUUUUUAUUUUUCUAUGUGUUUAAAAGGUCAAGAAGAUUAUUUGGCUGGCUGUAGAGUUCAAACAGGUAUUUCACCAUAAUUAACUUACUUAUGUGGUCAACUUUCUGAACAAAAAGUAGAAAACAAAGACUUGAUAGCAUGAAAUUUGAUUUAAAUUCCCGGUUUCUAAAGGUCUGUAAAUUAUACUUUCUACUACAUUACGGAAGCCUUGGAAUAACAGGUAAAGUUAUUGUUAUUGCUAUGUGAUCAGGAGGUCAAAAGUUUGAGCCGUGGAAACAAAAAUGCAGGAUAAGGUUGCAUACAAUAGGCUCGUAUGGUCCAACCCUUCCUUCUACUGCAUUAUUAUUAUUAUUAUCUCUCUACGGUUUUUGCUUUUUCUUUGCUAUUUUUGAAUGACACUUCGACGUUAAAUCCACAGGAAAAUGCUGGUGGUGAUCUCUUCUCUUUUCAUUCAAAAUUUUGGACACGAAGGG